CUGAUACAAUGGAAAGGAUUGUAUUUAUAUUCAUAAAUUCUAAAGCUGGACAGUCUGGAGGCUCCAGUGGUGUGUGCUGAGGAACGGGGGGGUCACAUCAGGGGGCCACGGUGUGUUCAUGUGUUCAGUGUUACCCGUGUCUCUGUUUCUCCCGCAGGAGGCGAUCACGCUUCCAGUACCGCGGUUCCAAGUGGAAAGCAGUCCAUCCGAAGGUCUCGCCACCGCAGGAAAGCUUCUCGCAGGGUCAAAGCUGUGCGUCCUGCGGACGAGGAAGACGGCGAUCAAGUCGAGGAGGAGGACGCCCGGUCCGGUUGCCAUUUCCCUUCGGACCGGGACUCGAGGGCAUUUGGGCAGCGGAGCGUGAGUCCCCUGCGGAGAGCCGUCCCAACAGGGGCUGCUUAGUGCGCUUUUCAGCACGAGUCUGGGGUGUCUACACACACUUCUGGACCCUGUUCAGUUGACUGUUUGAUCGACUGAUCGGUCGGUUGGUUGAUUGGCUGAUUGAUUAGUUUGGUUCCUUGUUAACAGCAGCAGGACUUUUCAAGGAUCGUUGACUGCAGUUGAUCUCUCCCACGUCCAGUAAAACACACCGCUGUCCAAUUGCUCAAAGCAGCAGAUAAGAGAGAAGUUCAGACCCUGAGGAAUGACUUUGCGUCUCCUUGGCAGCUGAGGAAUGGACGGCCAGAGGGGACAGGUGCGGAUGGGCUGCGGAGGAAGCAGGAGGAGGCGGCGCUGUCUUGCUUUAGAAGGGUGAGUCGCUUGUGGUCCCUUGGUGGUCUGGAUUUGCAUGCUCCAGCGGGGGGCGCCCUCGCGCCUCUAGUAAAACAGAUUGUCGCCUUGCGCCCCAGGACUGCAGGCAGGCGGAGGAGCGGUUAAGGCACAGGACGGCCCAGCUGUGCGAGAUGGAGCUUUGCCUCGCUGCACUCCUGAAGCAGAAGACGGUACGGUGCUGCAUACAGGUCUGUGGGACCUGCUCUUCUCCUGGCCGCCCACCGCUUCCUCCCUGUAGUCACAAACACCAGCAAUCGGAGACAGCCAACAAGUCCGCCACGGUUUCGUGGCGCUGCUUUAUACCAUGAUU
rnacentral:lncRNA from 1 species